rnacentral:rRNA from 1 species
GAUGAACGCUGGCGGCGUGCCUAAUACAUGCGAGUCGAGCGAACGGACGAGAAGCUUGCUUCUCUGAUGUUAGCGGCGGACGGGUGAGUAACACGUGGAUAACCUACCUAUAAGACUGGGAUAACUUCGGGAAACCGUAGCUAAUACCGGAUAAUAUUUUGAACCGCAUGGUUCAAAAGUGAAAGACGGUCUUGCUGUCACUUAUAGAUGGAUCCGCGCUGCAUUAGCUAGUCGGUAAGGUAACGGCUUACCAAGGCAACGAUGCAUAGCCGACCUGAGAGGGUGAUCGGCCACACUGGAACUGAGACACGGUCCAGACUCCUACGGGAGGCAGCAGUAGGGAAUCUUCCGCAAUGGGCGAAAGCCUGACGGAGCAACGCCGCGUGAGUGAUGAAGGUCUUCGGAUCGUAAAACUCUGUUAUUAGGGAAGAACAUAUGUGUAAGUAACUGUGCACAUCUUGACGGUACCUAAUCAGAAAGCCACGGCUAACUACGUG